rnacentral:rRNA from 1 species
CAGUCGCCACGGGAAUACGUAGGGUGCAAGCGUUGUCCGGAAUUAUUGGGCGUAAAGAGCGUGUAGGCGGCUCGACAAGUCCGCUGUGAAAGUCCAGGGCUCAACCCUGGAAUGCCGGUGGAUACUGUCGAGCUAGAGUCCGGAAGGGGCGAGUGGAACUCCUGGUGUAGCGGUGAAAUGCGCAGAUAUCAGGAAGAACACCAAUGGCGAAGGCAGCUCGCUGGGACGUGACUGACGCUGAGACGCGAAAGCGUGGGGAGCGAACAGGAUUAGAUACCCGCGUAGUCCCUGUCUCUUAUAC